UUUUACUCGAGGACAGCAGUGAUAACCUCUUGUGGGAAACUCGAGAAACAGAUUUUAUUGUAUUGAGUGAUUACAGCUUCUGUUUUCUGCUGCUGUCUGCUUUUUCUUCAUUAGAGUUUCAGUAGGAUUCUUCUGCUUACAGGAGGAAGCAGGAGGGUUUUAGCUCCCGUGGUUUGAGCACAACCACAUUAGGGAGGAUCACACACAUAAACACCCACAAACUGAAAUUACCCGCUGCAGCAGCAGCAGACGUCUAUAUGCAGCCGAUCUGAGAGAACUGAGGGAUAAUCUUGCCCUUCUGCCUGGUUUGAGGCUCUAUAAUGAUGCUCGGUAGUUUCUGGGUGGCUUUCAGCUCCCACCCAGUUUUAAUAACAGUGAGUGUGUCAGCUGGUGAUGUACACCCCCGGCUGACUCCUCCUCUCCUGGAUGUGGUUGGCCAGCUGGUGUCCAUGGAGACGCAGCUGUGGAGUGGCUGAGAAAGACUGGAGACCCCAGCACUCAUGAGGGACGACAUCUGCCCUGUGAUUUCACUCUGUCCUCAGAUCUAGGUAUGGUUCAUAUACACAAGCACUUUUCAUGAGUACAGUACAUUUUGGUGUCAUAUGAUGUUUCAUGUUUUAAUGCAGAAUUUUCAUGCUUUUGUUUGUGAGACUGAUUAGAUUAAACAAGAAAAAAGUGCCUGUAUCCCUUUGUAAAAUGUUAAUUUUGGCCAGUCCCACAACAGAAGUCCUUCUCGGCAUUAUCUAACAAUCUAAAGGAAUAGUUCACCCAAAGAUAAAAAUUUGCUCAAUAUUUACUCACCCUCAGGCCAUCCGAGAUGUCCAUGAGUUUGUUCCUUUAUCAGAUUUGGAGAAAUGUAGCAUUCCCUCACUUGCUCACCAAUGGAUCCUCUGCAGUGAAUGUGUGCCGUCAGAAUGUGAUCAGAUAAAAACAUCACAAUAAUCCACAAAUAAUCCACAUAGUCCAUCACUUAAUGUCUUGUGAAGCCAAAAGAUGCGCGUUUGUAAGAAUCAAUCAAGACAUUUUUCAUUUCUAAUUGCUUUCGGCUAAUAUAGAGUCUACUAUCCAUAAUAUUGCUUUCUUCUGAAUCAGGAGAGAAAUAUGCACAGAUCAAGACAACAGGGGAUAGACUUUUUCACUGGAAGAAGCAUUAUUAUGGACUCAUAUUUUGGCCAGAAGGGACGGUUUACAGUUAAAAUAACAUAAUGGAUUUGUUUCUUACAAAAAUGCAGUUUUUCUCUUCACAGCAUGGACUGGAGUCGUGUGGAUUUCUUGUGGAUUAUUGUGAUGUAAUUCUUUAAAUUGUUAUACCCUGGAGAUAAUAUUAUCGGUACAGCAUAGUGUGAAAAUAAGUAAAUAAUUUCAUUUCAUUUUCUCAGUUUUACAAAUAUUGUAGUACUGACCUCAUUGGACAAGCUCAUUCGUGAGAUAAUAAACAUCAAUGAUGCUUUGCCACAAGAAAAGAAAACAAAUAAAUUUCUUAAAUUUAUGGCAAUUAUUAACAACUACAAACCCAUAUUGUGCCCCAAAGUAGCUUAAUAUAGGUUA
ensembl:lncRNA